AACUAACGCUAGCGGCGUGCCUAACACAUGCAAGUCGUACGAGAAAGUCGGCUUCGGCCGGCGAGUAAAGUGGCGCACGGGUGAGUAACGCGUGGAUAAUCUACCCUUGAGUUGGGAAUAACGUGCCGAAAGGUGCGCUAAUACCGAAUAAUACUGAGUGACUAAUGUUGCUUAGUCAAAGAAGGCCUCUGCUUGCAAGCUUUCGCUGAAGGAUGAGUCCGCGUACCAUUAGCUAGUUGGUAGGGUAAUGGCCUACCAAGGCAACGAUGGUUAGCUGGUCUGAGAGGAUGAUCAGCCACACUGGAACUGAGACACGGUCCAGACUCCUACGGGAGGCAGCAGUGAGGAAUAUUGCGCAAUGGGGGCAACCCUGACGCAGCAACGCCGCGUGAGUGAGGAAGGUUUUCGGACCGUAAAGCUCUGUCGAGCGGGAAGAAAUGCAUGCUGGCUAAUAUCCAUCAUGCUUGACGGUACCGCUAGA
rnacentral:rRNA from 1 species